rnacentral:rRNA from 1 species
UAGGGAAUAUUGGACAAUGGGCGCAAGCCUGAUCCAGCCAUGCCGCGUGAGUGAUGAAGGCCCUAGGGUUGUAAAGCUCUUUCACCGGUGAAGAUAAUGACGGUAACCGGAGAAGAAGCCCCGGCUAACUUCGUG